CCUACGGGGGGCAGCAGUGAGGAAUAUUGGUCAAUGGGCGCAAGCCUGAACCAGCCAAGUCGCGUGAAUGAUGACUGCCCUACGGGUUGUAAACUUCUUUUAUAAAGGAAUAAGGUGAGGCACGUGUGCCUUUUUGUAUUUACUUUAUGAAUAAGGAUCGGCUAACUCCGUGCCAGCAGCCCCGGUAAUACGGAGGAUCCGGGCGUUAUCCGGAUUUAUUGGGUUUAAAGGGAGCGUAGAUGGGUUGUUAAGUCAGUUGUGAAAGUUUGCGGCUCAACCGUAAAAUUGCAAUUGAUACUGGCAGUCUUGAGUACAGUUGAGGUAGGCGGAAUUCGUGGUGUAGCGGUGAAAUGCGUAGAGAUCACGAAGAACUCCGAUGGCGAAGGCAGCUUACUAAACUGCGACUGACAUUGAUGCUCGAAAGUGUGGGUAGCAAACAGGAUUAGAUACCCGGGUAGUC
rnacentral:rRNA from 1 species